GCAUAUCAAUAAGCGGAGGAAAAGAAACUAACAAGGAUUCCCCUAGUAACUGCGAGUGAAGCGGGAAAAGCUCAAAUUUUGAAUCUGGCAGUCUUUGCAGGCCGUCCGAGUUGUAAUCUAGAGAAGCGUCUUCCGCGCCGGCCUGUGUACAAGUCUCCUGGAAGGGAGCGUCAUAGAGGGUGAGAAUCCCGUCUCUGACACGGACCACCGGUGCUAUGUGAUGCGCUCUCGACGAGUCGAGUUGUUUGGGAAUGCAGCUCAAAAAGGGUGGUAAACUCCAUCUAAAGCUAAAUAUUGGCGAGAGACCGAUAGCGAACAAGUACCGUGAGGGA
rnacentral:rRNA from 1 species